UACGUAGGGGGCAAGCGUUGUCCGGAAUCAUUGGGCGUAAAGCGCGUGUAGGCGGUUCGAUUAGUCUGCUGUGAAAGUCGGGGGCUCAACCCUCGAAUGCCGGUGGAUACUGUCGGGCUAGAGUGCGGAAGAGGCGAGUGGAAUUCCUGGUGUAGCGGUGAAAUGCGCAGAUAUCAGGAGGAACACCAAUUGCGAAGGCAGCUCGCUGGGACGUUACUGACGCUGAGACGCGAAGGCGUGGGGAGCAAACAGG
rnacentral:rRNA from 1 species